rnacentral:rRNA from 1 species
CCUACGGGUGGCAGCAGUGGGGAAUAUUUGGCAAUGGGCGCAAGCCUGACCCAGCAACGCCGCGUUAAGGCAUAAUGCUUUCGGGUUGUUAACUUCUUUUAAGAGGGAAGAGCAGAAAACGGUACCUCCUGAAUAAGCAACGGCGAACUACGUGCCAGCAGCCGCCGUAAUACGUAGGUGGCAAGCGUUGUCCGGAUGUACUGGGUGUAAAUGGCGUGUAGCCGGGCUGACAAGUCAGAUGUGAAAUCCGGGGGCUCAACCCCCGAACGGAAAUUGAAACUGUUGGUCUUGAGUAUCGGAGAGGCAGGCGGAAUUCCUAGUGUAGCGGUGAAAUGCGUAGAUAUCAGGAGGAACACUGGUGGCGAAGGCGGCCUGCUGGACGACAACUGACGGUGAGGCGCGAAAGCGUGGGGAGCAAAAAGGAUUAGAUACCCGGGUAGUC